rnacentral:rRNA from 1 species
GGGGAAUUUUCCGCAAUGGGCGAAAGUCUGACGGAGCAAUACCGCGUGAGGGAGGAAGGCUUUUGGGUUGUAAACCUCUUUUCUUAAGGAAGAAGAUCUGACGGUACUUAAGGAAUCAGCAUCGGCUAACUCCGUGCCAGCAGCCGCGGUAAUACGGAGGAUGCAAGCGUUAUCCGGAAUUAUUGGGCGUAAAGCGUCCGCAGGUGGCCUUUCAAGUCUGCUGUCAAAGACCAGAGCUCAACUCUGGGCCGGCGGUGGAAACUGGGGGGCUAGAGUACGGUAGGGGUAGAGGGAAUUCCCAGUGUAGCGGUGAAAUGCGUAGAGAUUGGGAAGAACACCAGUGGCGAAGGCGCUCUACUGGACCGAAACUGACACUCAGGGACGAAAGCUAGGGGAGCGAAAGGGAUUAGAUACCCCUGUAGUC